GUAGCUACAUUUGUUUUUGGGUGUUCGUGGUAGAAAUUAUGAAAAUAAAAGCGUUUUCUACAAAACUGAGUCUUUCUACAAACGCUGUUUGACGCUUUUCCACCUAUUAAAUUCUUCCCGGAAUAUCGAUCCUUUGAAAAGAAAAAGGAUUCCACCAUUUCCGAUUAUGAGUCCAUCAUCCUGCGCAUGACAAAGUAAACGUGCACAAGGGGGACUGCUAUUGUCAAAAGCCAAGAGAGUCAUGAUAAAUAACCUGCGUAAUGGCUUCAAACAUAAAUAAAUACGGAUACUGGGCAAGAAGAAGACUGUGUAACAACAGAAACGCUAAAUCAGCGUCGACGUUCCUAUUUGUUGUCUUCAGGGAACGUAAAAUAUUCUUGAUAUAAACCUGACUAUUUUCUUCCAAUAUAUGUAAUUCAAUUGAAGAGAACGAAGAAGAAGAUUUUCAAGGUAACAAUCGCACCGGCAGGGGCAAAUUUAAUAUUGAGACUUCAGAGAGUGAGAGAAAGGUACAGAAAAUGCUGUUCCUGAGUUUUGAAGAACGUCAUCAGUUUAUAAAUGAGUUCUGUGAAUAAUUUUGUAAUAAAUUUCAUCUUUAGGUUAUUUUACUUUUGAGAAAGAUAGCUUCUGUAGCCUAAGAAAAUUUGGAGAAUAUUCAGCUUCUACAUAUAAAGAAAAUAAUUUUAAGUUUUUCAUUUUUAACACUAGAUUUCCCAAGGAAGUCAUUUUGACUGCUUUUUAAUUUCAGUUAGAAAACAAUUAUUUCUUAGAAUCUUGUGACUUUUUGUACAACAUAUAAAUGCGUUUAUUAAUAAUUGUAGUUACCUCCCUUCUUUCAUUUCCGGUAUAUAUAUAUAUGUUGUACCUAUAUUGCCGAAAGCAGUCAUUUUGACUGCUUGUGA